rnacentral:rRNA from 1 species
AAUAUCAAAGGUGAGCCAGUACAGGAUGGACCCGCGUCUGAUUAGCUAGUUGGUAAGGUAACGGCUUACCAAGGCGACGAUCAGUAGCCGACCUGAGAGGGGGAUCGGCCACAUUGGAACUGAGACACGGUCCAAACUCCUACGGGAGGCAGCAGUGGGGAAUAUUGCACAAUGGGCGAAAGCCUGAUGCAGCAACGCCGCGUGAGUGAUGAAGGCCUUCGGGUCGUAAAACUCUGUCCUCAAGGAAGAUAAUGACGGUACUUGAGGAGGAAGCCCCGGCUAACUACGUGCCAGCAGCCGCGGUAAUACGUAGGGGGCUAGCGUUAUCCGGAUUUACUGGGCG